GGCGGGGUAGCUCAGAGGUCAGAGCGCGCGGUUCAUACCCGCGUCGUCGGGGGUUCAAAUCCCUCCCCCGCUACCA
rnacentral:tRNA from 2 species